UACAGAGGGUGCGAGCGUUAAUCGGAAUUACUGGGCGUAAAGCGUGCGUAGACGGCUAUCUAAGUCGGGUGUGAAAGCCCCGGGCUCAACCUGGGAAUUGCAUUCGAGACUGAAUAGCUAGGGUACGGUAGAGGGAAGUGGAAUUUCCGGUGUAGCGGUGAAAUGCGUAGAUAUCAGGAGGAACACCCGUAGCGAAGGCGGCACUCUGGGCCGAUACUGACACUGAGGAGCGAAAGCGUGGGGAGCGAACAGG
rnacentral:rRNA from 1 species